rnacentral:lncRNA from 1 species
GACCCUGAAACCCCUUCGACCCCAAAUCCUAUCAACUCCUCUCUGAAACGGUAGCCCCUUUUCCACUGGUUUCCAUCUUAUCUUGCCGGAAACCAUGGCCUCCCAAGCCCUGGGGGGCAUGUACUCACCCCCCACGUGCCCUUAUACUCCUGUUACUUGAAGUUCCAAGGUCCAACCUUGAAGACCUUGGCUCAGAAUCCCUCCGAUUCAGGUUCUAUGUCCAUCUCCGGCUCUUCUCCGGUGUAUCCUAGCCUUGCGAGAUCAUCUCCGACUCGGUCCAGCCCUUUCCAG